rnacentral:rRNA from 1 species
UGGGGAAUAUUGGACAAUGGGGGAAACCCUGAUCCAGCAAUGCCGCGUGUGCGAAGAAGGCCUUCGGGUUGUAAAGCACUUUUGUCAGGGAAGAAAUCCUUUGGGCUAAUACCCUAGGGGGAUGACGGUACCUGACGAAUAAGCACCGGCUAACUACGUGCCAGCAGCCGCGGUAAUACGUAGGGUGCAAGCGUUAAUCGGAAUUACUGGGCGUAAAGCGUGCGCAGGCGGUUGUGUAAGACAGGUGUGAAAUCCCCGGGCUUAACCUGGGAAUUGCAUUUGUGACUACACGACUAGAGUGUGUCAGAGGGGGGUGGAAUUCCACGUGUAGCAGUGAAAUGCGUAGAUAUGUGGAGGAACACCAAUGGCGAAGGCAGCCCCCUGGGAUAACACUGACGCUCAUGCACGAAAGCGUGGGGAGCAA